GAACGACCGCUGGCGGCAUGCCUAACACAUGCAAGUCGAACGAGACCUUCGGGUCUAGUGGCGCACGGGUGCGUAACGCGUGGGAACCUGCCCUUAGGUUCGGAAUAACUCAGAGAAAUUUGAGCUAAUACCGGAUAAUGUCUUCGGACCAAAGAUUUAUCGCCUUUGGAUGGGCCCGCGUAGGAUUAGCUUGUUGGUGGGGUAAUGGCCUACCAAGGCGACGAUCCUUAGCUGGUCUGAGAGGAUGAUCAGCCACACUGGGACUGAGACACGGCCCAGACUCCUACGGGAGGCAGCAGUGGGGAAUAUUGGACAAUGGGCGAAAGCCUGAUCCAGCAAUGCCGCGUGAGUGAUGAAGGCCUUAGGGUUGUAAAGCUCUUUUACCAGGGAUGAUAAUGACAGUACCUGGAGAAUAAGCUCCGGCUAACUCCGUG
rnacentral:rRNA from 1 species